rnacentral:lncRNA from 1 species
GGUAAGGGAUCUCAUCAAGUGCUGCUACGAGGACCAUGUGCUCUCUGCCCCAUUGCCUCGAGUGCACGCACUGCAGGGUGAAGGCCUUUGGAAAGCUGGGGAUUCUCAUUGCACGUGGGCUCCAACCUAAAAGCUUUCCUGGUUUUGCACAGAUGCCGAACCCUUGCAGCUCCUGUUCUUGGCUGCAGGGUGAAGGCCUUUGGAAAGCUGGGAUUCUCAUUGCACGUGGGCUCCUACCUAAAAGCUUUCCUGGUUUCGCACAGAUGCUGAACCCUUGCAGCUCCUGUUCUUGCUCUGAAUUUUGGGCGCUGAGAACUCUGGAAAAGCCGAAUGCUAUAAAGGAAGAAAUGCUGUCAGAUAGCAGAGAGCUGGAGCUGGGGGAAUUUUCUGGAUCGGUUCGUGAAGCGAAAGGAUUCUUUCUCUUUAAAAAUAGAAUGACAAUAGCACCCCGGCCCAGUAAUGACUUCUCUGAAAGUUAAAACAACUCUGAGGCAGUUGCUCUGCUUCCACCGGGCUGCCAGCAUGGAAACGAGACCACUGCUUGCGGGAUGGGGGUAUGUGUUUAUUGCACUGCUGUCUGCACACAAAAACUGCUCUUUCUUGACUGGCUGCACCGUUAGCGAUACGCCGCUGGUGCUGGCCAUGACUCUUUCAGUGCUGUGUAACCAUCAGUGAAGUAGGAGAAAAAAAAAAACCAACAACAACAAACCCGCU